CGGUUCAGGACGCGGCGCAGAGAGAUGACGCAACCAAGGCGGAGGGGGAAGGUCACGUGAACAAACGGGCCUCAGCCUGGAGGAUGGAAAGGGAAAUGUGGUGAGGUCGCAGACGCAAGGGGUACCGGUUUGGAAAGGCGAACGAGUGAGAAGCGGGGAGCUCCGCGCUUUUUAGAGGAGCCGGGAAAGAAGGGCCUCCGGGGGACCCUCCCUCCUCACCCGCUGCCGGGGAAUCAGUGUUGGAAUGCCCCUUAGAAACUAUCGAUCCAAUCUAUUACUUCCAGCAAGAGUACUAUCUACAUCAACAUUCAGCGUCUGAAACCCAGGAUAUCUUAACUCAAAGCUUUCAACCUAGAGAAGACAUGAAACUGAAACACAGCAGAUCAUUUAUUGUCUAGGCCUUUUGUUC